AUUGAACGCUGGCGGCAGGCCUAACACAUGCAAGUCGAGCGGCAGCGGAAAGUAGCUUGCUACUUUGCCGGCGAGCGGCGGACGGGUGAGUAAUGUCUGGGAAACUGCCUGAUGGAGGGGGAUAACUACUGGAAACGGUAGCUAAUACCGCAUAACGUCGCAAGACCAAAGAGGGGGACCUUCGGGCCUCUUGCCAUCAGAUGUGCCCAGAUGGGAUUAGCUAGUAGGUGGGGUAACGGCUCACCUAGGCGACGAUCCCUAGCUGGUCUGAGAGGAUGACCAGCCACACUGGAACUGAGACACGGUCCAUACUCCUACGGGAGGCAGCAGUGGGGAAUAUUGNACAANGGGCGCAAGCCNGAUGCANCCNUGCCGCGUGUAUGAAGAANGCCNUCUGGUUGUANAUUACUUUUANCGGGGAUGAAGGUGUUGAGGUUAAUANCCNUNUCNNUUGUNNUUACCCGUANAAUAAUCACCGGCUANCUNNNUGUUANCANCCUCGNUA
rnacentral:rRNA from 1 species